GACGAACGCUGGCGGCGUGCCUAAUACAUGCAAGUCGAGCGGAAUGAUGAAGAAGCUUGCUUCUUCUGAUUUUAGCGGCGGACGGGUGAGUAACACGUGGGCAACCUACCUUGUAGAUUGGGAUAACUCCGGGAAACCGGGGCUAAUACCGAAUAAUCCAUUUUGCUUCAUGGCGAGAUGUUAAAAGGCGGCUUCGGCUGUCACUACGAGAUGGGCCCGCGGCGCAUUAGCUAGUUGGUAGGGUAAUGGCCUACCAAGGCGACGAUGCGUAGCCGACCUGAGAGGGUGAUCGGCCACACUGGGACUGAGACACGGCCCAGACUCCUACGGGAGGCAGCAGUAGGGAAUCUUCCACAAUGGACGAAAGUCUGAUGGAGCAACGCCGCGUGAGUGAAGAAGGUUUUCGGAUCGUAAAACUCUGUUGUAAGGGAAGAACACGUACGAGAGUAACUGCUCGUACCUUGACGGUACCUUAUUAGAAAGCCACGGCUAACUACGUG
rnacentral:rRNA from 1 species